rnacentral:rRNA from 1 species
AUGCACGCUGGCGGCGUGCCUAAUACAUGCAAGUCGAGCGAACGGACGAGAAGCUUGCUUCUCUGAUGUUAGCGGCGGACGGGUGAGUAACACGUGGAUAACCUACCUAUAAGACUGGGAUAACUUCGGGAAACCGGAGCUAAUACCGGAUAAUAUUUUGAACCGCAUGGUUCAAAAGUGAAAGACGGUCUUGCUGUCACUUAUAGAUGGAUCCGCGCUGCAUUAGCUAGUUGGUAAGGUAACGGCUUACCAAGGCAACGAUGCAUAGCCGACCUGAGAGGGUGAUCGGCCACACUGGAACUGAGACACGGUCCAGACUCCUACGGGAGGCAGCAGUAGGGAAUCUUCCGCAAUGGGCGAAAGCCUGACGGAGCAACGCCGCGUGAGUGAUGAAGGUCUUCGGAUCGUAAAACUCUGUUAUUAGUGAAGAACAUAUGUGUAAGUAACUGUGCACAUCUUGACGGUACCUAAUCAGAAAGCCACGGCUAACUACGU